rnacentral:rRNA from 1 species
GGAUUAGAUACCCUGGUAGUCCACGCCCUAAACGAUGAGAACUAGCCGUUGGGGGUAAUUGAAACCUUUAGUGGCGCAGCUAACGCGAUAAGUUCUCCGCCUGGGGAGUACGGCCGCAAGGUUAAAACUCAAAGGAAUUGACGGGGGCCCGCACAAGCGGUGGAGCAUGUGGUUUAAUUCGAUGCAACGCGAAGAACCUUACCUGCCCUUGACAUCUAGCGAACUUUCCAGAGAUGGAUUGGUGCCUUCGGGAACGCUAAGACAGGUGCUGCAUGGCUGUCGUCAGCUCGUGUCG